rnacentral:tRNA from 1 species
GCCGGAGUGGCGGAACAGGCAGACGCGUCGGUCUCAAACACCGAUGGGAGCAAUCCCGUGUGGGUUCGACCCCCUCCUCCGGCACCA